UGGAGUUGUCUUCUUGUCUAUCUCCCGGAUUUCAGUUGGUAUUCCAUAGAUUUGUAGUUAUCUACCCCGCGUUGGGAGGAUCUUCAUGCAAACUGGCCGACCUUAAUCGAUUUCUUGAUGGAUUAAAAAGGCAGCACUGUGGAAAGAAACUCGAUGUGUGAGAAAGAGAGAUGCAAUUCCAUGACUUGGAGGAUAAUUAUUUCAAGUGCCAAUUUACCAUGACAGAUGAUCAGUAGCUGAAAACCUAUGCACAGACUUGGAAAGACGAUAAAAACAAUGGAAAAGGCACUUGUUCAACCAGCUUCUUCAAUAGCCCAAAAAUUAUGGGUUUCAUGAUUCAGUUGUUCUGGAAAAGCUUCUUGCCAAUAAAUGGUACAUUUACUACACUGCAAUUACAAAUGAGUUUGAACUUUGAAGAUCUUGCCAAAUCUGACCUGGUGGAUCCAUGCAGAGUUUCAAAAUGUGCUUUUCUAAACUGCAGAAUCAAUGUCUUAAUAACUCAAGCUGUCAAAGUGGAGAAGUGGAGAAAAGAAGGUAGAUUACUUGUUUUGAAAUGAUAUAAACCUUGCAAUUCCAUCACUCAGAACUCAAUACUGCCAAACUGAAAAUUCUAACUGUCUGGCUUGCUGAUUACUUGGGGAUGACAAUGUAUGAUGAUUAUUAAAAAAACAUUGAAAUAUGAAAAGAUU